GGGCGCUUAGCUCAGCUGGUUAGAGUGCCUGCUUGACAUGCAGGAGGUCCGCGGUUCGAGUCCGCGAGCGCCCACCA
rnacentral:tRNA from 1 species